rnacentral:rRNA from 1 species
GUGCCAGCCGCCGCGGUAAUACAGAGGGUGCAAGCGUUAAUCGGAAUUACUGGGCGUAAAGCGCGCGUAGGUGGUUCGUUAAGUUGGAUGUGAAAUCCCCGGGCUCAACCUGGGAACUGCGUUCUGAACUGGGUGACUAGAGUGUGUCAGAGGGAGGUAGAAUUCCACGUGUAGCAGUGAAAUGCGUAGAGAUGUGGAGGAAUACCGAUGGCGAAGGCGACCACCUGGACUGAUACUGACACUGAGGUGC